UGGGGAAUAUUGCACAAUGGUGGGAACUCUGAUGCAGCGACGCCGCGUGAAUGAAGAAGGCUUUCGAGUCGUAAAGUUCUUUUAUAUGGGAAGAUAAUGACGGUACCAUAAGAAAAAGCCCCGGCUAACUACGUGCCAGCAGCCGCGGUAAUACGUAGGGGGCUAGCGUUGUCCGGAAUCACUGGGCGUAAAGGGUUCGCAGGCGGAAAUGCAAGUCAGGUGUAAAAGGCAGUAGCUUAACUACUGUAAGCAUUUGAAACUGCAUAUCUUGAGAAGAGUAGAGGUAAGUGGAAUUUUUAGUGUAGCGGUGAAAUGCGUAGAUAUUAAAAAGAAUACCGGUGGCAAAGGCGACUUGCUGGGCUCAUUCUGACGCUGAGGAACGAAAGCGUGGGUAGCAAACAGG
rnacentral:rRNA from 1 species